rnacentral:rRNA from 1 species
AUUGAACGCUGGCGGCAGGCCUAACACAUGCAAGUCGAGCGGAUGAAGCGUGCUUUCUCCUGGAUUCCGCGUCGGACGGGUGAGUAAUGCCUAGGAAUCUGCCUGCUAUUGGUGGAUAACGUCCUGAAACGGGCGCUGAUACCACCUACUUCCUGCUGGUGCAAGUUGGUGGUCUUCGGACCUCUCCCUAUCAUAUGAGCCUAGGUCGGAUUAGCUAGUUUGUGGGUUAAGGGCCUACCUAGCCGACCAUCCGUAACUUGUCUGAGAGGAUGAUCAGUCACACGAGAGCUGAGACACGGUCCAGACUCCUAAGGGAGGCAGCAGUGGGGAAUAUUGGACAAUGGGCGAAAGCAUGAUCCAGCCAUGCCGCGUGUGUGAAGAAGGUCUUCGGAUUGUAAAGCACUUUAAGUGGGGAGGAAGGGCAGUAAGUUAAGACCUUGCUGUUGUGACGGUACCAACAGAAUAAGCACCGGCUAACUUCGUG